rnacentral:rRNA from 1 species
UACGUAGGGUGCAAGCGUUGUCCGGAAUUAUUGGGCGUAAAGAGCUCGUAGGCGGUCUGUCACGUCGGCUGUGAAAUCCCGAGGCUCAACCUCGGGUCUGCAGUCGAUACGAGCAAACUAGAGUGUUGCAGGGGAGACUGGAAUUCCUGGUGUAGCGGUGAAAUGCGCAGAUAUCAGGAGGAACACCGGUGGCGAAGGCGGGUCUCUGGGCAACAACUGACGCUGAGGAGCGAAAGCGUGGGGAGCGAACAGG